UACGUAGGGUGCAGGCGUUAAUCGGAAUUACUGGGCGUAAAGCGUGCGCAGGCGGUCUCUUAAGACAGGUGUGAAAUCCCCCGGGCUUAACCCGGAGCGGUCAAGUGAUACUGUCGUGCUAGAGUGCGGAAGGGGGCUACUGGAAUUCUCGGUGUAGCGGUGAAAUGCGUAGAUAUCGAGAGGAACACCUGCGGCGAAGGCGGGUAGCUGGGCCGACACUGACGCUGAUGCGCGAAAGCCAGGGGAGCGAACGGG
rnacentral:rRNA from 1 species